GACAGAGGUUGCAAACGUUGUUCGGAAUUACUGGGCAUAAAGCGCGCGUAGGCGGUCCGUUAAGUCAUGUGUGAAAUCCCCCGGCUCAACCGGGGAAUUGCGCCUGAUACUGGCGGGCUAGAGAUCGAUAGGGGUGAAUGGAACUCCAGGUGGAGCGGUGAAAUGCGUAGAUAUCUGGAGGAACACCGGUGGCGAAAGCGGCUCACUGGAUCGAUACUGACGCUGAGGUGCGAAAGCUAGGGUAGCAAACGGG
rnacentral:rRNA from 1 species